CUUAGUUGAGUUAAGUUGAGUUGAAUUAAAUAAUAAAAAAGAAUAGCAUGCUAAAUUAAAAGGUCAUAAUAUAUUAAUAUAAAAUGCUAUAAUUUAACAACUAUAAUUGGGGAAGUAAAUUAAAAAGAAAAAGAAACAGAAAAAGAAAAAAAAAAGAGAGGGAGAGAAAAAAGAACCGCCGGUGGAAGAAAAAUAACUAAGAAGAAGGUUUUGUAUGUACUUUCUAUAGUAAAAAUGACGUGAAAUCUUAAAAAUUUUUAAGAUAUAGGGUCUAAUAACCCUCUAGAAAAAGAAUCGAUCGAAUCAGUUGAUUCAUAUUAUUCACCCGAUUCACCAUCUAAUCUGAAGACUUGGUCAUGAUUUAGGAAUAUUUAUGAUUCACCUCAUAGAUUCGAAUCACUAGGAUGGAGAAUCGAAUCUAAUCAGAUCGAAUGAUUCAAAUUGAGAACCAUAAUAUUCUAGCAACAGUCUUAAAAACAUUCCUUUGAGUUGCUGGUUUUCAUUUCUUUAACCCACUUCAAAAUAAUUCCACAUUUUGUUGAAGAUCAAGAGAAAUAUCAUGUAGAAAGGACUAAGGAGUUAUUAGUUAAGGUUAGAUUUGUAUACAUUACUUUGCCUUACGCUAGUUGGUUAAAAUACUUCUUGAUGAAGAAUGCAACAACAACAAUAACUAAGUCUUACUCUCAAACUAGUUGGGGUUGGUUGGCUAUAUUGUGGAUGAUGAAUGUAUAUCAUUAAUUCAAGGUUUUUAUUUAAUGUAUUUAUGCUUAU
rnacentral:misc_RNA from 1 species